GAUGAACGCUGGCUACAGGCUUAACACAUGCAAGUCGAGGGGAAACGACGGGGAAGCUUGCUUCCCCGGGCGUCGACCGGCGCACGGGUGAGUAACGCGUAUCCAACCUGCCUCUGACUGAGGGAUAACCCGUCGAAAGUCGGCCUAAUACCUCAUGGCAUCGUCUGCGGGCAUCCAACGACGAUUAAAGAUUUCAUCGGUCAGAGAUGGGGAUGCGUCUGAUUAGCUUGUUGGCGGGGUAACGGCCCACCAAGGCGACGAUCAGUAGGGGUUCUGAGAGGAAGGUCCCCCACAUUGGAACUGAGACACGGUCCAAACUCCUACGGGAGGCAGCAGUGAGGAAUAUUGGUCAAUGGGCGAGAGCCUGAACCAGCCAAGUAGCGUGCAGGAGGACGGCCCUAUGGGUUGUAAACUGCUUUUAUGCGGGGAUAAAGUGAGGGACGUGUCCUUCAUUGCAGGUACCGCAUGAAUAAGGACCGGCUAAUUCCGUG
rnacentral:rRNA from 1 species